rnacentral:rRNA from 1 species
GAUAAACGCUGGCGGCGUGCCUAACACAUGCAAGUCGAACGCUCUCUCGCGCAAGUGAGAGGGAGUGGCGGACGGGUGAGUAACACAUGGGAAUCGACCCACACGUGAGGAAUACCACCGAGAAAUCGGUGACAAUACCGCAUACGCUUCGCAAGAAGCAAAGCUUCCGUAAGGGGGCGCGCGUGGACGAGCCUGUGUCUGAUUAGUUGGUUGGUGGGGUAAAAGCCUACCAAGACUGCGAUCAGUCGCUGGUCUGAGAGGAUGAUCAGCCACACUG